ACCAGGGUAUGUAACGUUGAGUGAAGGGUAUGGAUGUGAUCUGUAUUCUGAUAGCGUUACGCGUGGUGCAUGGCCGUUCUUAACACGUGGGGUGACUUGUCUGGUUAAAUCCGAUAACGCGUGAGACCCUGGAAAUUGACGAUACUUGACAAGAGUAGGGAAGCUCGGGUCGAUAACAGGUCUGUGAUGCCCGUAGAUAUUCUGGGCGCCACGCGCAUUACAGUGGGAGAGGAUACGUAAAACGGAACUUUCUUGCGGUUGGGAUUGACGUUUGUAAAUACGUCAUGAACGCGGAAUUCCUAGUAAUUUGUUGUCAUUAACGACAGAUGAAUGAGUCCCUGUUCUUUGUACACACCGCCCGUCGUUAUCUAAGAUGAAUGUGCGGAUGAAGUUGGUUAGGCCAAAAGAAUCCGUCCGAUUAGAUUGGAUACAAGUCGUAACAAGGUUGCGGUAGGAGAACCUGCCGCAGGAUCAAUAAAAAGAUCAUUGGGUUUUUAUAAUGUGGGUAACACAUUGCGUUCGAAGGAUCGAUUGGUUUUGGUGACGAUGACGAUUGUUGCUGUAUGCGAUAAUGAGUGACAACAGCCUUGUUUAACUCGUUAUCUAAUUAUAGAUGUUAUCUAUGAUUACCCCUUGGACUUAAGCAUAUCAUUAAAGGGGAGGAAAAGAAAACAACUGUGAUUUCGA
rnacentral:rRNA from 1 species